rnacentral:tRNA from 1 species
GGGGCGAUAGCUCAGCUGGCAGAGCGCUGCUUUCGCACGGCAGAGGUCAGGGGUUCAAGUCCCCUUCGCUCCACCA